GUCCAAUGAAACUCAUCGUAUCAUUUUCUCUGCAGUUUGUUGGGCCUUGAACGUCAUCCGGUAUUUAUUUUUGUUGGGCUUUCAUUAAGUUUGAUGGGCGCGUUUCAGUUAGGGUUUACCCUGUUUUCUUCUUCGCCUCUCUUUUACACCCCCAUGUCAAUUAGCUCUUCGAAAUCGAUUUUCCAUCUUCUUCCUCGGAGUAACGCAACGUUACGAGUUACCAGGUUAUCAUCUAAAACCCUCCAUUACUCUCUCACACAUUAUCUACAUUCAAUGCGAUUUCUGGAUCUGUAAGACGGUGGAGAUUCAUAUAUAAAAAGACUGGCCGCCCCUCCUCCACUGUUCAAGUCCAUUUGCUAAGUUUCUGGGAGGCUCAGGAAGGUGUCAAGGUUACAGAUGUGGUUCCGAGUGGAGCUUCCAUUGGUAUCUACGAGAGUGAGACUCUUGAGCUUAGUGAUGGGGGAUCAAACUACCUUGGGAAGGAUGUCUCUAAGGCUGUUGACAACUUCAUGGUCUAUGAACUGAUGGAACCCAAAACAAGUGGGGUUAAUGCAAUCAAAAUCAAAAGCUUGGAGCCAAUGAUAUCCUUGAUGCGUGCAAACCUGGGGCCAUUCUCAAUGGCAUUCGUCUCUACAAAAGGAAGGUAGAAGAGCAACAGGUAAACAUAUAUUAGACGACGGGGGAGAUAGGAAAACAAUAAUAAAUAUUAAUGAUUAUAUUUUUUACAUUUUUCAUGGUAGUAUAGUUUUGUAAAUUUUAACAAAAAGGAAAAUAGUUCAGAUUAAAUCUUCAACUUUCUAUCUUCUUACUUACUACGACAGUUAAUGUAUUCUGUGAUGUGGUACAAUAACAUGUUUAUACGUUUCUAUCUUUUGACUCA